ACUCCUACGGGAGGCAGCAGUGGGGAAUAUUGCACAAUGGGCGCAAGCCUGAUGCAGCAACGCCGCGUGAGGGAUGACGGCCUUCGGGUUGUAAACCUCUUUUAGUAGGGAAGAAGCGAAAGUGACGGUACCUGCAGAAAAAGCACCGGCUAACUACGUGCCAGCAGCCGCGGUAAUACGUAGGGUGCAAGCGUUGUCCGGAAUUAUUGGGCGUAAAGAGCUCGUAGGCGGCUUGUCGCGUCUGCUGUGAAAACCCGAGGCUCAACCUCGGGCCUGCAGUGGGUACGGGCAGGCUAGAGUGCGGUAGGGGAGAUUGGAAUUCCUGGUGUAGCGGUGGAAUGCGCAGAUAUCAGGAGGAACACCGAUGGCGAAGGCAGAUCUCUGGGCCGUAACUGACGCUGAGGAGCGAAAGCAUGGGGAGCGAACAGGAUUAGAUACCCUGGUAGUCCAUGCCGUAAACGUUGGGAACUAGAUGUAGGGCCUGUUCCACGGGUUCUGUGUCGUAGCUAACGCAUUAAGU
rnacentral:rRNA from 1 species